rnacentral:rRNA from 1 species
CGGGACACGUGGUAUCCUGUCUGAAUAUGGGGGGACCAUCCUCCAAGGCUAAAUACUCCUGACUGACCGAUAGUGAACCAGUACCGUGAGGGAAAGGCGAAAAGAACCCCGGCGAGGGGAGUGAAAAAGAACCUGAAACCGUGUACGUACAAGCAGUGGGAGCCUCUUUAUGGGGUGACUGCGUACCUUUUGUAUAAUGGGUCAGCGACUUAUAUUCUGUAGCAAGGUUAACCGAAUAGGGGAGCCGAAGGGAAACCGAGUCUUAACUGGGCGUUAAGUUGCAGGGUAUAGACCCGAAACCCGGUGAUCUAGCCAUGGGCAGGUUGAAGGUUGGGUAACACUAACUGGAGGACCGAACCGACUAAUGUUGAAAAAUUAGCGGAUGACUUGUGGCUGGGGGUGAAAGGCCAAUCAAACCGGGAGAUAGCUGGUUCUCCCCGAAAGCU